rnacentral:rRNA from 1 species
GAUUUGAGACGGGCUGCUCCUAGUACGAGAGGACCGGAGUGGACGAACCUCUGGUGUUCCGGUUGUCACGCCAGUGGCAUUGCCGGGUAGCUAUGUUCGGAAAAGAUAACCGCUGAAAGCAUCUAAGCGGGAAACUUGCCUCAAGAUGAGAUCUCACUGGGAACUUGAUUCCCCUGAAGGGCCGUCGAAGACUACGACGUUGAUAGGCUGGGUGUGUAAGCGUUGUGAGGCGUUGAGCUAACCAGUACUAAUUGCCCGUGAGGCUUGACCAUAUAACACCCAAACA